AGUGAACGCUGGCGGUAGGCCUAACACAUGCAAGUCGAACGGCAGCACAGUAAGAGCUUGCUCUUACGGGUGGCGAGUGGCGGACGGGUGAGGAAUACAUCGGAAUCUACUUUUUCGUGGGGGAUAGCGUAGGGAAACUUACGCUAAUACCGCAUACGACCUACGGGUGAAAGCAGGGGAUCUUCGGACCUUGCGUGAUUGAAUGAGCCGAUGUCGGAUUAGCUAGUUGGCGGGGUAAAGGCCCACCAAGGCGACGAUCCGUAGCUGGUCUGAGAGGAUGAUCAGCCACACUGGAACUGAGACACGGUCCAGACUCCUACGGGAGGCAGCAGUGGGGAAUAUUGGACAAUGGGCGCAAGCCUGAUCCAGCCAUACCGCGUGGGUGAAGAAGGCCUUCGGGUUGUAAAGCCCUUUUGUUGGGAAAGAAAAGCAGCAGGUUAAUACCCCGCUGUUCUGACGGUACCCAAAGAAUAAGCACCGGCUAACUUCGUG
rnacentral:rRNA from 1 species